UGCCACUGCCCAGCUCCUUCCUCCCCCCGCUGAUUUCCUUCAAAUGAGCCCAACUACUGUGAAAGCUUAGUACUGCUGGCAUUAUGCCCAUUUUACAGAUGAGGAAACUGAGGUCUCCAGAGGUCAAAUCCUUUCCUCAACUCACUGGUGAGAAAGUGGCCGAGCCAAUGUUCAAGGACAGUCUUUCUUUCCUCAGAAAUGCCAACCUGGGUGACCAACUCACUUGUCCACUCAGCCCAGGGCUGGGUCUGUGGGAACCGUCAGAAGUUCUCAGGAAAAGUUGGCUGAACUGGACUGAAUCAGCCCCUCCACAUCUGAAGAUGGGCAAUAGCUAUAGCUGCAUUUUGACACUGCCUCCUGAUCAGAUACUAACGCUGCCCAGAGCACUGGGUUGAGAAGUGCCAUACUCAGCAGAUAAGAGUCCUAGAAUCAACUAGUCAUGUCUGCUAAGAGUGCAGAACCAGAUAAUCAGAAAUUCAGCCUUUUUUGCUGAUCCCAGAAUAAAUGAUCAGAAGCCUGGGAGCAAAAGAUUCUGUUAAAGAAGACUUUUCUUAUAAAUCAUAAGCCCUCUGAAUUGAUUUACUGUAAAACAGGUAAACAAAUAUCAAGAUGCAUUUAGGGAGAGGGUGGGAUGAUUUGGGAGAAUGGCAUUCUAACAUGUAUACUAUCAUGUAAGAAUUGAAUUGCCAGUCUAUGUCUAACGCAGGAUACAGCAUGCUUGAGGCUGGUGCAUGGGGAUGACCCAGAG
rnacentral:lncRNA from 1 species